GAUGAACGCUGGCGGCGUGCCUAAUACAUGUAAGUCGAACGGACAGCAGCAAUGUUGUCAGUGGCGAACGGGUGAGUAACACGUUGGUGACCUGCCCCGAAGGGGGGGAUAACAGCUCGAAAGGGCUGCUAAUACCCCAUGUGGACGCCUGAGUUAGAGCAGGGCGUCUAAAGCUGAGCUCGCAAGGGCUGGGCGCUUUGGGAGGGACCUGCGGUCCAUCAGCUGGUUGGUAGGGUAACGGCCUACCAAGGCGACGACGGGUAGGGGACCUGAGAGGGUGAUCCCCCACACUGGCACUGAAACACGGGCCAGACACCUACGGGUGGCAGCAGUAGGGAAUAUUGCACAAUGGGCGCAAGCCUGAUGCAGCAACGCCGCGUGCGCGAUGAAGGCCUUCGGGUCGUAAAGCGCUUUUCUGGAGGAUGAGCAAGGACAGUACUCCAGGAAGAAGUCUCGGCUAACUACGUGCCAGCAGCCGCGGUAACAC
rnacentral:rRNA from 1 species